AAUUCGAUGCAACGCGAAAAACCUUACCUACCCUUGACAUGUCUGGAAUCCUGAAGAGAUUUGGGAGUGCUCGAAAGAGAGCCAGAACACAGGUGCUGCAUGGCCGUCGUCAGCUCGUGUCGUGAGAUGUUGGGUUAAGUCCCGCAACGAGCGCAACCCUUGUCAUUAGUUGCUACGAAAGGGCACUCUAAUGAGACUGCCGGUGACAAACCGGAGGAAGGUGGGGAUGACGUCAGGUCAUCAUGGCCCUUAUGGGUAGGGCUACACACGUCAUACAAUGGCCGGGACAGAGGGCUGCCAACCCGCGAGGGGGAGCUAAUCCCAGAAACCCGGUCGUAGUCCGGAUCGUAGUCUGCAACUCGACUGCGUGAAGUCGGAAUCGCUAGUAAUCGCGGAUCAGCUUGCCGCGGUGAAUACGUUCCCGGGUCUUGUACACACCGCCCGUCACACCAUGGGAGCGGGUUCUGCCAGAAGUAGUUAGCCUAACCG
rnacentral:rRNA from 1 species